GUCAGAGUUUUGUGCUAGGAAGAGGAAUGGGGACUGUGGAAGGAAAUGUGGAUGACAGCAUGGUGUUCCAGAAUUACUGAAUGUGUUUUACCUGCAGUGAAGAUGCACCAACUGUUUGUUCUCUGCAACACAUGAUGAGGUGCUAACUGCAAUCAGUUUUAACUUUCACGUUGCAAUCUGGCAUAUGUGGAUAUCGACACAUCUGUUUUGAGCAUGUAUUUUGGAGAACAAAGUAUGAUAUGUCUGUGCUGGUUGCCAGCCUCAAGACCUGGCACUCGGGUUUACAGAGGGCUUUGGGUGCAUCAGGCUU